AGACUUUGAUCCUGGCUCAGAACGAACGCUGGUGGCGUGCCUAAUACAUGCAAGUCGAACGAGAAAGUUCUUCGGGAGCGAGUACAGUGGCGCACGGGUGAGUAACACGUAGGUGAUCUGCAUAUAAGUUGGGGACAACACCGGGAAACCGGUGCUAAUACCGAAUGUGUAAAUCAAAUUUGAAAAUAGAUUUAUAAAGAUGGCCUCUGCCUGCAAGCUAUCGCUUAUAGAAGAGCCUGCGUAACAUUAGCUAGUUGGUGGGGUAAUGGCCUACCAAGGUAACGAUGUUUAACUGGUCUGAGAGGAUGAUCAGUCACACUGGAACUGAGACACGGUCCAGACUCCUACGGGAGGCAGCAGUAGGGAAUAUUGCGCAAUGGGGGAAACCCUGACGCAGCGACGCCACGUGAGUGAGGAAGGCCUUCGGGUUGUAAAACUCUGUUGUUAGGGAAAAAUGUUACAGAUGCUAAUAUCAUUUGUAGUUGAUGGUACCUAAUCAGAAAGCAGCCGGCUAU
rnacentral:rRNA from 1 species